CGAUUGUAAACAUCUUUUCCAAGUUACUUUUAAUAUUGCAAAACUUUAAUUUGUAAAGGGAAUUGAGGAGUGCACAUCAUUGAUUAUUGAGCCUCGCCCCUAAUGUUCCUACCUUGUAUUCCCCCACCUAUCCAACCAUAUUCACAAAUACUGUUUUGUUAGCCAGGCUUCUGACAAAAUUCAAUAUUUCUAACACUCUAGUGCAAUAACAAUUGUUAAAUAUCUAAAAGGUGUGCAUGUGGGAAAGGUCAGUGCAUAUCCCUUUAGGAGGGGAGAAUGUUGUAAUAUAUCAGCUAUCAAGAUGUUUAAAAAACAG
rnacentral:lncRNA from 1 species